GAUGAACGCUGGCGGCGUGCUUAACACAUGCAAGUCGAACGGUGAACGAGGGAGCUUGCUCCCUCCGGAUCAGUGGUGAACGGGUGAGUAACACGUGAGCAAUCUGCCCUGGACUCUGGGAUAAGCGUUGGAAACGACGUCUAAUACCGGAUACGAGACGCGAAGGCAUCUUCAGCGUCUGAAAAGAACUUCGGUCCAGGACGAGCUCGCGGCCUAUCAGGUAGUUGGUGAGGUAACGGCUCACCAAGCCUACGACGGGUAGCCGGCCUGGGAGGGUGACCGGCCACACUGGGACUGAGACACGGCCCAGACUCCUACGGGAGGCAGCAGUGGGGAAUAUUGCACAAUGGGCGCAAGCCUGAUGCAGCAACGCCGCGUGAGGGACGACGGCCUUCGGGUUGUAAACCUCUUUUAGCAGGGAAGAAGCGAAAGUGACGGUACCUGCAGAAAGAGGACCGGCUAACUACGUGCCAGCCGCCGCGGUAAUAC
rnacentral:rRNA from 1 species